rnacentral:misc_RNA from 1 species
GCAAUGGAAGGUGGAUGUCCCAUUUUGUGUACCCUACUUGCAUGUAUCUUGUCUUCUGAAUUUAAUAUAAAGUUGCUUUAUAUUUGGUAAUGAUUAGCAACACUAGUGUAAUAAUUUUCUUUUGAUCCAAAUUCAUAUAGGCAGAGUUAAACAGAAAGAUGCAGUGAAUUAGACAAAGAGCCAUGUUAUACUCUUAUCAUUUUAUUCUCCCCCUUAUCCUCUUCAAAAGAGUUCAUCAUCUAGUUAAAUCUAGGUGAGAAGAACUCCGUUCUU